AGAAAGAUGCUGAAUGGGCGAGAAACGAAGGCUUGGAAUCUGAAACUGCAUCAGUGCUAGAGCAAGCAUUUGAAACCUUCACAAGCAGUCAAGCUUUUGAGUAUGGGGCGGGGAAAAGUUACAACAAGCCAAUAGAGUUCAACCAAGAGGACAAUAUGUCAUAUGAAUCCACUCAAGCCUCCCACGGUUCAGAAGAGGCAUUUCGCCAUGUUAAAAGACUGGAGGAAGAUGUUAUUCAUCUCCCAAAAGAGGAUGAAAAUGAUAUGUCUAACAAACAUGAGGAGCAAUUGGAAGAUGAAUUGCACCCCUAUGGGUAUGGUAACGAUGAUUGUGAAAGAUUGGGAGGAUUCAUUAAGGAAAAUGACAUGACAGAAAGAAUCGAUAAGUUCAACCAAGAGGAGAUUAUCUCAUAUGAAUCUGCUCAAGCUUCUCACUGGUCAGAAGAGGUAUUUCACCAUGUUGAAAGAGUGGAGGAAGGUGACAUAAAUUUCACAAAAGUGGAUGAUGAAAAUGAUAUGUCUAACAAACGUGAGGAACAACAUGCACUGAACCCCAAUGGGGAUGUAAAGGAUGAAUGGGAUCGAGUGGCAGGGUACAAUGAAGAGAAUGGAAUUGGAGAAAGAAUGGAUGAUUGGAAAGAAGCAAAGUAUCAUGUGAAAGAGGAAGAGAUGUGGAAUAACAGAGAAGCCCAACCCAAUCGGUCUGAUCAAGAGUAUAUACCUUCAAAUGAAGAGAAACAAAAUCUAUUCGAGCAAGAGCAAAUACCUUCAGGCAGAGAGAAACUGAAUCAGUCUGAGCAAAGGUAUAUCAAUUCAAACGGAGAGAAACUGAAUCAAUCUGAGCAAGAACAUAUACCUUCAGGCGGAGAGAAACUGAAUCAAUCCGAGCCAGAGUACAUAACUUCAGGCGGAGAGAAACAGAACGUAAAUGCACAAGAACACAUAACAACAGACGGAGAGAAAAUGAAUCAAUCCGAGUCAGAGUAUAUACCUUCAGGCGGAGAGAAACUGAAUCAAUCUGAACAAGAGGAUAUAACUUCAGGCGGCGAGACACUGGAUAUAUGUGAGCAAGAACAUAUACCCUCAGACAGAGAGAAAAUGAAUCAAUCCGAGCAAGAAAAUAUACCUUUAGGUGGAGAAAAACUGAAUCAAUUCGAGCAAGAAAAUAUACCUUUAGGUGGACAGAAACUGAAUCAAUUCGAGCCAGAGUAUAUAAUUUCAGGCGGAGAGAAACUGAAUCAAUCUGAACAAGAGAAUAUACCUUUAGGUGGAGAGAAACUGAAUCAAUCCGAGCCAGAGUACAUAACUUCAGGCGGAGAGAAACUGAAUCUAUAUGUGCAAGAACACAUACCCUCAGACAGAGAGGAACUGAAUCAAUCUGAACAAGAGGAUAUAACUUCAGGCGGCGAGACACUGGAUAUAUGUGAGCAAGAACAUAUACCCUCAGACAGAGAGAAAAUGAAUCAAUCCGAGCAAGAAAAUAUACCUUUAGGUGGAGAAAAACUGAAUCAAUUCGAGCAAGAAAAUAUACCUUUAGGUGGACAGAAAC
ensembl:lncRNA